GACAGAGGUGCCGAGCGUUAGGCGGAAUCACUGGGCUUAAAGUGUGUGUAGGCGGGCGAUCAAGUACCUUGUGAAAUCCCACGGCUCAACCGUGGAACCGCUGGGUAUACUGGUUGUCUUGAGCCGGCUAGGGGCGAGCGGAACAGACGGUGGAGCGGUGAAAUGCGUAGAUAUCAGGAGGAACACCGGUGGUGUAGACGGCUCUCUGGACCGUAACUGACGCUGAGGCACGAAAGCGUGGGUAGCAAACAGG
rnacentral:rRNA from 1 species